rnacentral:rRNA from 1 species
UACAGAGGUCUCAAGCGUUGUUCGGAUUCAUUGGGCGUAAAGGGUGCGUAGGCGGCGCGGUAAGUCGGGUGUGAAAUCUCAGAGCUCAACUCUGAAACUGCACUCGAUACUGCUCUGCUUGAGGACUGGAGAGGAGAUUGGAAUUCACGGUGUAGCAGUGAAAUGCGUAGAUAUCGUGAGGAAGACCAGUGGCGAAGGCGGAUCUCUGGACAGUUCCUGACGCUGAGGCGCGAAGGCCAGGGGGAGCAAACGGGG